rnacentral:misc_RNA from 1 species
UGUGGGAGCGAGCCUGCUCGCGAUGGCGGUGUGUCAGUCAGCAUCAAUGUUGCUGAUCCACCGCCAUCGCGAGCAGGCUCGCUCCCACA